rnacentral:misc_RNA from 1 species
GUGAAUCAUCAAAUUUUUGAACGCAAAUUGCACUCUCUUCUAAGAGUAUGCCUGUUUGAGGUUCAGCCUAAAAUAAUCGACAUAGUCGCUGUUUCGCUGUGACAUUCGUCGGAAAUUGGGUCAUCUUAAACCUUGGGGUUUUAAUCGGCUUAAAAUUUUCUAUACAAUUUCACGAACGUUUCUAGUAUUUACUGUACACGUUUAAGGUAACGAUCUUUAUUAAACGUGGCCGUUGCAUCGGAUCGCGUUCAUAAAUAUUUCUUUAACUAACCUUAUACAG